UACGUAGGGUGCGAGCGUUGUCCGGAAUUAUUGGGCGUAAAGGGCUCGUAGGCGGUCUGUUGCGUCGGGAGUGAAAACUCAGGGCUUAACCCUGAGCCUGCUUCCGAUACGGGCAGGCUAGAGUUCGGUAGGGGAGACUGGAAUUCCUGGUGUAGCGGUGAAAUGCGCAGAUAUCAGGAGGAACACCGGUGGCGAAGGCGGGUCUCUGGGCCGAUACUGACGCUGAGGAGCGAAAGCGUGGGUAGCAAACAGG
rnacentral:rRNA from 1 species